CGUGAUGUGGAAGGGGAAAAGAAACAAAGAACACCGGACACACCUUGCAUGAUCAAGCGCCCCCGUGUGGCAGAAAACGCAGAGGGUCACUCCACGCGCCGCAGUUUCAAAGAAAAAGAAAUAUCUAAGAGCAUCUGAUUCUCCAUUGUCGGCACUUGCAGUGCGUUGUUCA
rnacentral:lncRNA from 1 species